CAGUCGGUGAAAGUCCGACCGGGGCAAAAGACUCAAGCCUCGUAGCUUGGGAGGCGUCGUGGCGCGAAAGCAAGACGAUGGAGCCCUCCGACAGUAUGCUCAGAAAGGAGUAUAUGCAACGCACCAGGUUGCAACGUGC
rnacentral:ncRNA from 1 species